rnacentral:rRNA from 1 species
AGAGUUUGAUCAUGGCUCAGGAUGAACGCUGGCGGUAUGCCUUACACAUGCAAGUCGUACGAAAGUUUUUAACUUUAGUGGCGGACGGGUGCGUAACACGUAAGAAUUUGCCUUUAGGAGGGGGACAACAACUGGAAACGGUUGCUAAUACCCCAUAUGCUUUCGAGUGAAAUGGAAUUUAAAAAUUUUCCGCCUAGAAAGAAGCUUGCGGCUGAUUAGCUUGUUGGUAAGGUAAUGGCUUACCAAGGCGACGAUCAGUAUCUGGUUUGAGAGGACGAUCAGGCACACUGGAACUGAGACACGGUCCAGACUCCUACGGGAGGCAGCAGUGGGGAAUUUUCCGCAAUGGGCGAAAGCCUGACGGAGCAAUACCGCGUGAGGGAUGACGGCCUAUGGGUUGUAAACCUCUUUUUUCAGGGAGGAACAAAAUGACGUGUACCUGAAGAAUAAGCAUCGGCUAACUCCGUGCCAGCAGCCGCGGUAAGACGGAGGAUGCAAGUGUUAUCCGGAAUCACUGGGCGUAAAGCGUCUGUAGGUGGUUUAAUAAGUCAACUGUUAAAUCUUGAGGCUCAACUUCAAAACCGCAGUCGAAACUAUUAGACUCGAGUAUAGUAGAGGUAAAGGGAAUUUCCAGUGGAGCGGUGAAAUGCGUAGAGAUUGGAAAGAACACCGAUGGCGAAGGCACUUUACUGGGCUAUUACUAACACUCAGAGACGAAAGCUAGGGUAGCAAAUGGGAUUAGAUACCCUAGUAGUCC